rnacentral:rRNA from 1 species
GAAUACCAGAGGCGAAGGCGAACUUCUAGGUCAAGACUGACGCUGAGUCACGAAAGCGUAGGGAGCAAACAGGAUUAGAUACCCUGGUAGUCUACGCUGUAAACGAUGCACACUUGGUGUUAAUCGAAAGGUUAGUACCGAAGCUAACGUGUUAAGUGUGCCGCCUGGGGAGUAUGUUCGCAAGAAUGAAACUCAAAGGAAUUGACGGGGGCCCGCACAAGCGGUGGAGCAUGUGGUUUAAUUCGAUGAUACGCGAGGAACCUUACCAGGGCUUGACAUAUACAGGAU